rnacentral:ncRNA from 2 species
GCAUAUCAAUAAGCGGAGGAAAAGAAACUAACAAGGAUUCCCCUAGUAACUGCGAGUGAAGCGGGAAAAGCUCAAAUUUAAAAUCUGGCGGUCUUCGGCCGUCCGAGUUGUAAUCUGGAGAAGCGUUUUCCGCGCUGGACCGUGUACAAGUCUCUUGGAACAGAGCGUCAUAGAGGGUGAGAAUCCCGUCUUUGACACGGACUACCAGUGCUAUGUGAUGCGCUCUCGAUGAGUCGAGUUGUUUGGGAAUGCAGCUCAAAAUGGGUGGUAAAUUCCAUCUAAAGCUAAAUAUUGGCGAGAGACCGAUAGCGAACAAGUACCGUGAGGGAAAGAUGAAAAGCACUUUGGAAAGAGAGUUAAACAGUACGUGAAAUUGCUGAAAGGGAAACGAUUGAAGUCAGUCGCGUGUGCUAGAACUCAGCCUUGCUUUUGCUUGGUGCAUUUUCUAGUGUACGGGCCAGCAUCAGUUUUGGCCGCCGGAAAAAGGCCUUGGGAAUGUGGCACCUUCGGGUGUGUUAUAGCCCUUGGUUGUAUACGGUGGCUGGGACUGAGGAACAUAGCAUGCCUUUACGGCGGGGCUUCGGCCACCUUCAUGCUUUGGAUGCUGGCGUAAUGGCUUUAAACGACCCGUCUUGAAACACGGACC